rnacentral:rRNA from 1 species
GCUUGUCUCAAAGAUUAAGCCAUGCAUGUUCAAGUAUAGCAAGUGUACAGUGAAACUGCGAAUGGCUCAUUAAAUCAGUUAUAAUUUAUUUGAUGGUCCUUGCUACUUGGAUAACCGUAGUAAUUCUAGAGCUAAUACAUGCAUCAAGCCCCGACUUCUGGAAGGGGUGUAUUUAUUAGAUGGAAACCAAUGCGGGGCAACCCGGUAUAUGGUGAUUCAUAAUAACUUUCGGAUCGAUUUAUCGAUGCAUCAUUCAAGUUUCUGCCCUAUCAGCUUUGGAUGGUAGGGUAUUGGCCUACCAUGGCUUUAACGGGUAACGGAGAAUUAGGGUUCGAUUCCGGAGAGGGAGCCUGAGAAAUGGCUACCACAUCCAAGGAAGGCAGCAGG